rnacentral:ncRNA from 2 species
UAUUGUAGAGGAAUACCAGGUACCGCUUUUAGCGGUUUAAUAGGGAAUCCGGUUUUAAUCCGGAGCUGUCCCCGCAACUGUACGUGCUGACGAUUCUGCUAAAAAGCCACUGUCAUAAUGGAUGGGAAGGCGCAGAAAAGACUGAAGCAUAAGCCAGGAGACCUGCCUGUAUUCCUUGGAGUUU